UCUUCUCAGUUCUCUCUCUCUUUGUUUUCUUCAUCGGCAAAUCUCUCUCUCCGGCGGCCGGCAGUCCUUCUCUCGACGGAAUCUCUGCCAGAUUUCGCCGGAAAAUCUCUCUCUCUCUCUCUCUCCGGAAUCCAUCUCUAGCCAAAAAAUAUCUCUGGAUGGAAUCUCUCUGCCGGAUCUCGCCGAAACUUGACGGACACGCUCUCUCUCAUAGGAUCUCGACGGAAACGCUCUCUCUCGACGGAUAUUGCCGAAGCUCACCGAAAAUCUCUCUCUGGACGAAAUCUCUCUAUGCCAGAUCUCGCCAAAAACAGUUUCUCUCGCCGGAUCUAUCUCGCCGGAACUACAAAUAGUGAAAUGAUGGUGAUAGAAGAGAAUAGCAAGCAUGGGAAUGGAAGUUGCUCAAGGUGGAGUACAAUUGGCGAUUGAAAAAGAAAAACAACCGACGGAUGAAAAAAAACUAUCAGAUUACAUUAGCGAGUUCGUUGGGUUUUUUUUUACUGUUUCUAGCAAUUUUAUACUAUUAGGAUAUGGAGGACUUUGAUAUCUUUAUGUUGUAAUGAUGUAUUGGUAUGGAAAUACAUUUUCGCUGUUGUUGGAAUCA